GCUAGAUACAAAGAGGGGCUUCGGUGACACUUGCUGAUGGGAGUCCGGCAUUUUACCGGAAUAUCUUUCCCGCGGCUUCAUUGGCUCGACGUACGCAUUCAAACGGAUUUGCACUUUGCCAGGUUAUUACAGCUCUGAAGACAAGAACCUUAUAGUGGACACAAGAUAAAGUCAAGCUACUGUCGAGAGCGUGCCUGCCUCGCGUGAGUGAGUGCGUGUGCGCGCGUCCUGCGCGGGGCCUGUCGGUACUGUAGCAGCACAGAAUGGUUUGUCAGUUAUAACGGGGGUGCAGGCCGUACUGUGCUGCGGCAACAACGACAGGACAGGCGUGCACUUCACAUCAGACGGGUGAGAAAGAGAGAGAGGAACUUAGGGCAAUGUAGGCAAAAACAACAACAUAUAUGUGUGACUGCAAGUCUCCUGAACUUGGCCGUGUGGCUGCCUGGCUGUAGCAGCACGUAAAUAUUGGAGUCAAAGCACUAGCGAAUCCUCCAGUAUUGACCGUG